rnacentral:rRNA from 2 species
CGGUAAUACGUAGGUGGCAAGCGUUGUCCGGAUUAUUGGGCGUAAAGCGAGCGCAGGCGGUUUUUUAAGUCUGAUGUGAAAGCUUUCGGCUUAACCGGAGAAGUGCAUCGGAAACUGGGAGACUUGAGUGCAGAAGAGGACAGUGGAACUCCAUGUGUAGCGGUGGAAUGCGUAGAUAUAUGGAAGAACACCAGUGGCGAAGGCGGCUGUCUAGUCUGUAACUGACGCUGAGGCUCGAAAGCAUGGGUAGCGAACAGGAUUAGAUACCCUGGUAGUCCAUGCCGUAAACGAUGAGUGCUAAGUGUUGGAGGGUUUCCGCCCUUCAGUGCUGCAGCUAACGCAUUAAGCACUCCGCCUGGGGAGUACGACCGCAAGGUUGAAACUCAAAGGAAUUGACGGGGGCCCGCACAAGCGGUGGAGCAUGUGGUUUAAUUCGAAGCUACGCGAAGAACCUUACCAGGUCUUGACAUCUUCUGCCAAUCUUAGAGAUAAGACGUUCCCUUCGGGGACAGAAUGACAGGUGGUGCAUGGUUGUCGUCAGCUCGUGUCGUGAGAUGUUGGGUUAAGUCCCGCAACGAGCGCAACCCUUAUUAUCAGUUGCCAGCAUUCAGUUGGGCACUCUGGUGAGACUGCCGGUGACAAACCGGAGGAAGGUGGGGAUGACGUCAAAUCAUCAUGCCCCUUAUGACCUGGGCUACACACGUGCUACAAUGGACGGUACAACGAGUUGCGAAGUCGUGAGGCUAAGCUAAUCUCUUAAAGCCGUUCUCAGUUCGGAUUGUAGGCUGCAACUCGCCUACAUGAAGUUGGAAUCGCUAGUAAUCGCGGAUCAGCAUGCCGCGGUGAAUACGUUCCCGGGCCUUGUACACACCGCCCGUCACACCAUGAGAGUUUGUAACACCCAAAGCCGGUGAGAUAACC